rnacentral:lncRNA from 1 species
AAGACUUCAAUACGUCACAAAUUUGUAAAUAAGCAUAUAACUUCCAGUAAUCACAAUAUCUCGCAGAAAUAAAUAAAUCACAUCGAGUGUUCAUCGACACAUGCUGACACACGAGUUCAUACAGAGGUAUUCUAACACGAACAUGACUAGGUGUAAUAAUGAUUUACACUCUAGUACUACAAUCACGUGAAGACUGGCACUAUGUGCAUCACACACGAGUCCUAAUUGCCUAUAGCAAUCUAGAACAGGACUGUCACCUACAAUGGAUCCAAAGUGAGCGUAUGGUGUGAUGUGAACAUACACGUGAAAGACUGGCCCUGGCUCGGGCAAGUACUAACACUGGUGCAACAACGAUGAACAGAUAAUGUAAAUAAAAUCAUACCGCGGUAAAUCAAUAAUUUAUGUCAACGUAAUACUAUUCAAUAAAUAUUAAUCAUGGCCAUAACUAAAAUCCCACAAAAGUACACAUACUUGUGCAUCCCGUAGGAUUUAGGAUAAUUUCGUAAAUUCCGUCGUUUCACUAAUUUUUUUAAGCAUUAGACUAAUCUAGGCAUACGUAAGAAAUUCUUUUUCAAAUAUAUAAAUGGAAACUAAAUAAAUAUAUAAUAUUAAAAAGCAAAGACCCACUCACAGAUAUUUGCGAGGUCGCAGCUGUUCAAAUUAGGAAAGCUGGAGUCAUUGAUAAUAAUCGCACCUAAGCAUAUCAUUGGGGCCCGUUAGUAAAACUCAACUAAAAUGACUAAAUUUGGGAAAACAUAGUGCGAAUUUGGAAUCAGAGCGUCGAACCAUGCUAAGAGGGUCCGCAAAAGUUUUUACACAAAGUCGACGAAAAGUCAACGGUCAACUCUAAAAGUCAACAGAGCAGCCCCAACGAUCAAUUACAUUAAAACUUUGAAAUUUCACUAAAUGGAUGUUAAAAACGGACUCAGGGCAUUGAAAUUAGCCUAGGAGGGUUUCCGAAAAAAUUUCGAAUCCGGGUCGCGAAUCUGGGCUUCCUCUUU